rnacentral:misc_RNA from 1 species
GGCGAUUGAGCUGCGGCGUCGUGCGUGCCAUUCUGUGCGGCACUGGCGUCCUCACCUGUGCCUGAAACUGUCAUCGCGACGUCCACAUCGGCAUCAGAAGUAGGGCCUGGGCCUUUUGCGGCAGCGCCAGCGGCGGCAUCUUUGACGUCGUCCAUUGUUGGCUCAGCGUCGUGCGGAGCCUCGACGAACGUGAGAGCUUUUAUGAACUCGG